GACGAACGCUGGCGGCGUGCUUAACACAUGCAAGUCGAACGGAAAGGCCCCUUUGGGGGUUCUCGAGUGGCGAACGGGUGAGUAACACGUGAGUAACCUGCCCUUGACUUCGGGAUAACUUCCGGAAACUGGGGCUAAUACCGGAUAGGUAUCCUUGCUGCAUGGGGGGGGUUGGAAAGCUUCGGCGGUUUUGGCUGGACGGGGGGCUUAUCGGCUUGUUGGUGGGGUAGUGGCUUCCCAAGGCUUUGACGGGUAGCCGGCCUGAGAGGGCGACCGGCCACAUGGGGACUGCGAGACGGCGCAGACGCCUACGGGAGGCAGCAGGGGGGAAUAUUGCACAAUGGGCGGAAGCCUGAUGCAGCAACGCCGCGUGCGGGAUGACGGCUUUCGGGUUGUAAACCGCUUUCAGCAGGGGCGAAGCUUGUGGUGACGGAACCUGAAGAAGAAGAACCGGUGACUUCCGG
rnacentral:rRNA from 1 species